rnacentral:hammerhead_ribozyme from 1 species
AUCGAGUUGAAGAGUUUGAAAUAGGACGAAACGUGCGUUCUGGAU